CAACAGGGAUUGCCCUAGUAACGGCGAGUGAAGCGGCAACAGCUCAAAUUUGAAAUCUGGCCUUCGGGUCCGAGUUGUAAUUUGUAGAGGAUGCUUUUGGUGCGGUGCCUUCCGAGUUCCCUGGAACGGGACGCCAUAGAGGGUGAGAGCCCCGUCUGGUUGGAUACCAAUCCUCUGUAAAGCUCCUUCGACGAGUCGAGUAGUUUGGGAAUGCUGCUCUAAAUGGGAGGUAUAUGUCUUCUAAAGCUAAAUACCGGCCAGAGACCGAUAGCGCACAAGUAGAGUGAUCGAAAGAUGAAAAGCACUUUGAAAAGAGAGUUAAAAAGUACGUGAAAUUGUUGAAAGGGAAGCGCUUGUGACCAGACUUGGGCUUGGUUGAUCAUCCUGGGUUCUCCCUGGUGCACUCUUCCAGUCCAGGCCAGCAUCAGUUUGCUUCGGGGGAUAAAGGCUUCGGGAAUGUGGCUCCUCCGGGAGUGUUAUAGCCCGUUGUGUAAUACCCUGAGGCAGACUGAGGUUCGCGCUCUGCAAGGAUGCUGGCGUAAUGGUCAUCAGCGACCCGUCUUGAAACACGGACCAAGGAGUCGUCUUCGUAUGCGAGUGUUCGGGUGUUAAACCCCUACGCGUAAUGAAAGUGAACGCAGGUGAGAGCUUCGGCGCAUCAUCGACCGAUCCUGAUGUUCUCGGAUGGAUUUGAGUAAGAGCAUACGGGGCCGGACCCGAAAGAAGGUGAACUAUGCCUGUAUAGGGUGAAGCCAGAGGAAACUCUGGUGGAGGCUCGCAGCGGUUCUGACGUGCAAAUCGAUCGUCAAAUAUGGGCAUGGGGGCGAAAGACUAAUCGAACCUUCUAGUAGCUGGUUUCCGCCGAAGUUUCCCUCAGGA
rnacentral:rRNA from 1 species